GUCGUCGCGGCCAGGGGCGUGGCGGCGCGGGCCCCUUCGGCGGCUCCGGCCCGUUCGGCGGCUCCGGCCCGUUCGGCGGCG
rnacentral:tRNA from 1 species